UCCUUCUUAGCUCAGUUGGUAGAGCGCGUCACUAGUAUUUGGUUCAAUGACGAGGUCAGUCGUUCAAGUCGGCUAGAAGGAA